UCGCGGCCUAUCAGCUUGUUGGUGGGGUGAUGGCCUACCAAGGCUUCGACGGGUAGCCGGCCUGAGAGGGCGACCGGCCACACUGGGACUGAGACACGGCCCAGACUCCUACGGGAGGCAGCAGUGGGGAAUAUUGCACAAUGGGCGAAAGCCUGAUGCAGCGACGCCGCGUGAGGGAUGACGGCCUUCGGGUUGUAAACCUCUUUCAGCAGGGACGAAGCGCGAGUGACGGUACCUGCAGAAGAAGCGCCGGCCAACUACGUGCCAGCAGCCGCGGUAAGACGUAGGGCGCGAGCGUUGUCCGGAUUUAUUGGGCGUAAAGAGCUCGUAGGCGGCUCGUUGCGUCAAUCGUGAAAACCCGGGGCUUAACUUCGGGCUUGCGGCUGAUACGGGCGGGCUGGAGUUCGGUAGGGAAGACUGGAAUUCCUGGUGUAGCGGUGAAAUGCGCAGAUAUCAGGAGGAACACCGGUGGCGAAGGCGGGUCUCUGGGCCGAUACUGACGCUGAGGAGCGAAAGCGUGGGGAGCAAACAGGACUAGAUACCCUGGUAGUCCACGCUGUAAACGUUGGGCACUAGGUGUGGCGACCCGAUCAACGGUUGCCGUGCCGAAGCUAACGUAUUAAGUGCCCCGCCUGGGGAGUACGGA
rnacentral:rRNA from 1 species